rnacentral:misc_RNA from 1 species
GAUUAAGAACGCAGCGAAAUGCGAUACUUGGUGUGAAUUGCAGAAUCCCGUGAACCAUCGAGUCUUUGAACGCAAGUUGCGCCCGAAGCCACUAGGCCGAGGGCACGCCUGCCUGGGCGUCACACGUCGUUGCCCCCCACCAUCUACUCCUUCGGGAUUGCGGGGGGCGGAUGAUGGCCUCCCGUGCGCCUAGCCGCGCGGUUGGCAUAAAUACCAAGUCCUCGGCGACGCACGCCACGACAAUCGGUGGUUGCGAAACCUCGGUUGCCCGUCGUGUGCGUUCGUCGCGCAUCGAGGGCUCGAAAAAAUGCUCGGCUCCGGCUCGGCUUUCAACGCGACCCCAGGUCAGGCGGGGUUACCCGCUGAAUUUAAGCAUAUCAAUAAGCGGAGGA